CAAAGCCUUUAACCCCUUCAGAGUUAUCUAGGCAAACUCCACCUCCCCUUUUCCCAAAUAUCAUAUUUUAUCCUGUUACGCCAAAGCCAUAAACAACCCACUGAGACAAAGAAAUCAGUACAGAACACAAAGCUUAAUUCUCUGAAGUCUCCCACAGAACUAAGAAGAAGCACGAACUAACAUCUGAUAGGUCAUCUGGCCACCUAUUUCAACUGGGUUUGGCAUCUUCCCCUGGGUUUAUAGUAACAGCAAAAUAAAACUCCAAAAUGGUGUUUGGCUCAUUAUACAAGGGUCAGUUGGCCAAGUCUUGUCAUUCUAAGGUUAAUGCUGACCUCAAGAUGAAAGAGAAGUGUUCUCUUCAAAUUCCUGAGUUUGUAAAAAAUUGCCAUUAUAUCUUCUUUAAACAAUAAAAAUGAUUAGCAAAGCCA